rnacentral:rRNA from 1 species
UACGUAGGGGGCUAGCGUUGUCCGGAAUCAUUGGGCGUAAAGAGCGUGUAGGCGGCCCGGUAAGGUCCGCUGUAAAAGUCAAAGGCUCAACCUUUGAAUGUCAGUGGAUACUGCCGGGCUAGAGUCCGGAAGAGGCGAGUGGAACUCCUGGUGUAGCGGUGGAAUGCGCAGAUAUCAGGAAGAACACCAACGGCGAAGGCAGCUCGCUGGGACGGUACUGACGCUGAGACGCGAAAGCGUGGGGAGCGAACAGG